rnacentral:rRNA from 1 species
GAUGAACGCUAGCGGCAGGCCUAACACAUGCAAGUCGAGGGGCAGCACAGAAACAGCAAUGUUUUGGUGGCGACCGGCGGACGGGUGCGUAACGCGUAUGCAACCUACCUUGAACAGGGGGAUAACGGAGAGAAAUUUCCACUAAUACCCCAUAACAUCGAUCAAGGCAUCUUGAUUGGUUGAAAACUCCGGUGGUUAAAGAUGGGCGUGCGUUGUAUUAGGUAGUUGUUGAGGUAAUGGCGCCCCAAGCCUACGAUACAUAGGGGGACGGAGAGGUUAGCCCCCCACACUGGUACUGAGAAACGGACCAGACGCCUACGGGAGGAAGCAGUGAGGAAUAUUAGUCAAUGGGGGCAACCCUGAACCAGCCAUGCCGCGUGCAGGAAGACGGCUCUAUGAGUUGUAAACUGCUCUUAAACAGGGAUAAAGCACAGUAUGUAUACUGUGUUGAAGGUACUGUAAGGAUAAGGAUCGGCUAACUCCGUGCCAGCCGCCGCCGUAA